rnacentral:misc_RNA from 1 species
CUUCCCCCGUUUCCCCUUGUUUUUUCUUCUACGAAUUCUUGCUAACUAUUAUUUUCUACAGUGAACCUGCGGAAGGAUCAUUAACGAGUUAGGGUCUUCUAGGCCUGACCUCCCAACCCUUUGUUUACUAGACCUCUGUUGCUUCGGCGGAUCCGUCUCAAACUGACCGCCGGAGGACCGCCCAACUGGGCGAUCCUCUGGCCAGUGUCCGUCGAUAGCCUCUUCAUCCCAACUCUGGAAUAAUCGUGACAAUGCUGUCUAAGUGAAUUUAUUCAAUUAAAAAGCAAAAACUUUCAACAACGGAUCUCUUGGUUCUGGCAUCGAUGAAGAACGCAGCGAAAUGCGAUAAGUAAUGCGAAUUGCAGAAUUCCAGUGAGUCAUCGAAUCUUUGAACGCACAUUGCGCCCUUUGGUAUUCCGAANGGCAUGCCUGUUCGAGCGUCAUUAUCACCCCCCUCAAGCCUCGUGCUUGGUGUUGGACGGCUUGGUGGAAGGGACACACCCUUCCGCCCGUCCUAAAGACAAUGAC